rnacentral:rRNA from 1 species
GGUGAACGCUGGCGGCGUGCCUAAUACAUGCAAGUCGAGCGAACAGACGAGGAGCUUGCUCCUCUGACGUUAGCGGCGGACGGGUGAGUAACACGUGGAUAACCUACCUAUAAGACUGGGAUAACUUCGGGAAACCGGAGCUAAUACCGGAUAACAUGUUGAACCGCAUGGUUCAACAGUGAAAGACGGUCUUGCUGUCACUUAUAGAUGGAUCCGCGCCGCAUUAGCUAGUUGGUAAGGUAACGGCUUACCAAGGCAACGAUGCGUAGCCGACCUGAGAGGGUGAUCGGCCACACUGGAACUGAGACACGGUCCAGACUCCUACGGGAGGCAGCAGUAGGGAAUCUUCCGCAAUAGGCGAAAGCCUGACGGAGCAACGCCGCGUGAGUGAAGAAGGUCUUCGGAUCGUAAAACUCUGUUAUUAGGGAAGAACAAAUGUGUAAGUAACUAUGCACGUCUUGACGGUACCUAAUCAGAAAGCCACGGCUAACUACGUG